rnacentral:rRNA from 1 species
AGAGUUUGAUCAUGGCUCAGAAUCAACGCUGGCGGCGUGCCUAACACAUGCAAGUCGAACGCGAAAGUCCCGCAAGGGAUCAGUAGAGUGGCAAACGGGUGAGUAACACGUGGGUGACCUGCCUUCGAGUGGGGGAUAACGUCCCGAAAGGGACGCUAAUACCGCAUGACAUCCUGCUCUUGAACGAGUGGAGAUCAAAGCUGGGGAUCGCAAGACCUAGCGCUCAAAGAGGGGCCCGCGCCUGAUUAGCUAGUUGGUGGGGUAACGGCUCACCAAGGCGACGAUCAGUAUCCGGCCUGAGAGGGCGGACGGACACACUGGGACUGAGACACGGCCCAGACUCCUACGGGAGGCAGCAGUGGGGAAUUGGUCGCAAUGGGCGCAAGCCUGACGACGCAACGCCGCGUGGAGGAUGAAGAUCUUCGGGUCGUAAACUCCUUUCGAUCGAGACGAACGGCCUCCGGGUGAACAAUCCGGAGGAGUGACGGUACCGAGAGAAGAAGCCCCGGCUAACUCCGUGCCAGCAGCCGCGGUA